GAUCGAUUGGCCCAGUGGUCAAGGCGCCCGCUUUACAUGCAAACACUGCAAAUUCGCGGGAGAUCACAGGUUCGAUCCCUGUAUCGAUCA